rnacentral:rRNA from 1 species
UGGGGAAUAUUGCACAAUGGGGGAAACCCUGAUGCAGCGACGCCGCGUGAAGGAAGAAGUAUCUCGGUAUGUAAACUUCUAUCAGCAGGGAAGAAAAUGACGGUACCUGACUAAGAAGCUCCGGCUAAAUACGUGCCAGCAGCCGCGGUAAUACGUAUGGAGCAAGCGUUAUCCGGAUUUACUGGGUGUAAAGGGAGCGCAGGCGGCAUGGCAAGUCAGAUGUGAAAGCCCGGGGCUCAACCCCGGGACUGCAUUUGAAACUGUCAGGCUGGAGUGCAGGAGAGGCAGGCGGAAUUCCUAGUG